rnacentral:lncRNA from 1 species
AUAACAGACAAUUAAACACAAUUUCCUAGUUUAUUUAAGUGCAAUAAACUAAAUAUAGUUCAAGAAAUAACGACUCAUCAAAAUAGACCACACUUAGUCUUUUCCACUCUUGGGCAAAACCAAGACAAAAACCAGGGAACUACUCAAACAUCAGGGAGGUGACACAGACUCGACAGACAGACAAUAAAGACUCACAAAACAAAAAUAGAGUUGCACAAUUCUCACAAAAUCUGGACAGUGAAAGGAAGUGGAAAGUAUCCAACACAAAAGCAAUGAAAGCAGAUACUCAUGAAAUCAUCCAAACAGUUCAGUACAUGGAAAACAGUCAAUUAGUUCAAGAGAUGAAUCAAAAGCAACAGAGCCUCACAGAUGCACACAAUAAGUGUUUCUCUCAAGUGUUUAAGGUAAAUUAAUGUCACUCAAUGCACUCAAGAAAGAAAACACAAAUAGACUUGGCAAGCCUUUAAUAUCAACACUCAAGCACAUACGCAUGUUCAAAUCAAAAGGUCUUUUCAUGGUUGUAAUGGGGCCAAGGACAAGGGAGCAUACAUCUGGAUAAGAAGCUACGAACCAUAAGAAACAGAGGAGCAAUGGGGAAUAAGUGUAAACAUAUUCAAACACACCCACAACCUCUAAUUUCAUCCUCUUCUUGACUCAAUUAUUCAUAAUUAUUCACAAAUUUUUUCAUUUUUCACUGUAUUUUUCUGUUUUUUUUUUCUUUUUCUCAUCCUGUCUCUUUCUCUUCUUUUUUUUUUU